UCGAUUUGGAGUUUGUUGCCCUGAGUGAUGGGCUCCGAAGCUAACGCGAUAAAUCGACCGCCUGGGGAGUACGGCCGCAAGGUUAAAACUCAAAUGAAUUGACGGGGGCCCGCACAAGCGGUGGAGCAUGUGGUUUAAUUCGAUGCAACGCGAAGAACCUUACCUGGUCUUGACAUCCACAGAAUCUUGCAGAGAUGCGAGAGUGCCUUCGGGAACUGUGAGACAGGUGCUGCAUGGCUGUCGUCAGCUCGUGUUGUGAAAUGUUGGGUUAAGUCCCGCAACGAGCGCAACCCUUGUCAUUAGUUGCCAUCAUUAAGUUGGGCACUCUAAUGAGACUGCCGGUGACAAACCGGAGGAAGGUGGGGAUGACGUCAAGUCCUCAUGGCCCUUAUGACCAGGGCUUCACACGUCAUACAAUGGUCGGUACAGAGGGUAGCGAAGCCGCGAGGUGAAGCCAAUCUCAGAAAGCCGGUCGUAGUCCGGAUUGCACUCUGCAACUCGAGUGCAUGAAGUCGGAAUCGCUAGUAAUCGCAGGUCAGCAUACUGCGGUGAAUACGUUCCCGGGUCU
rnacentral:rRNA from 1 species